CCUACGGGCGGCUGCAGUGGGGAAUUUUCCACAAUGGGCGAAAGCCUGAUGGAGCAACGCCGCGUGUGUGAUGAAGGUCUUCGGAUCGUAAAGCACUUUCGACCGGGACGAAAAACCUCUGGCUAACAUCCAGGGGCCUGACGGUACCGGGAGAAGAAGCACCGGCUAACUCUGUGCCAGCAGCCGCGGUAAUACAGAGGGUGAAAGCGUUGUUCGGAAUUAUGUGGCGGCGGGUUCGUGUAGGAGGCGUGAAAGCCCAUGGCUUAACCAUGGAAGUGCGUCUGAAACUGCCGAGCUUGAGUGCCGGAGAGGAUGGCGGAAUUCCGCAAGUAGAGGUGAAAUUCGUAGAUAUGCGGAGGAACACCGGUGGCGAAGGCGGCCAUCUGGACGGUAACUGACGCUGAGACGCGAAAGCGUGGGGAGCAAACAGGAUUAGAUACCCCGGUAGUC
rnacentral:rRNA from 1 species